rnacentral:rRNA from 1 species
UACGGGGGGGGGCAAGCGUUGUUCGGAAUUACUGGGCGUAAAGGGCUCGUAGGUGGCCAACUAAGUCAGACGUGAAAUCCCUCGGCUUAACCGGGGAACUGCAUCUGAUACUGGAUGGCUUGAGUUUGGGAGAGGGAUGCGGAAUUCCAGGUGUAGCGGUGAAAUGCGCAAAUAUCAGGAGGAACACCGGUGGCGAAGGCGGAUCUCUGGGCCAUUACUGACGCUGAGGAGCGAAAGCGUGGGGAGCGAACAGG